UCUCUCUGUCUGGUGAAUGGGAACGAAAUAACGCAUCCAGCAUCAAGUUCCUAACGUCGCUCAGCAGAAACAAACGCGAACGGACGGAGGUGUGAGACGGAAAGGAUAUUGUCCGGAAUGUUUAUGGGGAAAAUAAGAUACCUAAGCAUUGCAGCAAGGCCCCGGCAAUGGAGGAACAGCAAGAAGGCAGAAGAAAAUGAAGGUACCCAAUGAAAGCACAGGGACGAAGGCAUCUCCCCUCAUGGAUGCUGCUCGACCCACUGAGUUCCUGCAGCAGAUUGUUUGUUGCUCCAGAUUCCAGCAUCUGCAGUCUCUUGUGUUUCGAGAAGAUGAAGGUGCUGUCUGCAUGUUACAAAAUCAGACUUCAAGAUGAUAAGAAGGCACUUUGAGGAUACAAGGGCAAACAUUCAACUUGGUGAGGCUCUAUCAGCCCAUAAACUAGCUUCUGCUGCACACAGAGGUGACCUGGUCCAUACACUGUGAAGAAAUUAACACUGGCUCCCACCACCCAUACAACCGUACUCUAAUAAAGAGAGAGAAGAACAAAGAACCUGCAUUUAUAUAGUGCCUUCCACAAGUCAGGUUUAAACAGCACUUGCAUGUGUACUUGAAGAGCUGUGAUCUAAGGACUACGGACGUGGUGCUGGUAGGUGUGAUUAAGCUGGGUAUCUUUCUUUCUCGACCAAGCACAGAUACAAUGUGCUCCAAAGUCAAAUUCGAGUUUACUGUCAAUGCACAAGUACAAGUAUGCACAAGUGCAAUGAAAAAUUUAC